AUGUGUCUCCCAAAAUAUAAAGGAGGCAUGGGAUUCAGAGAUUUACAUGCUUUCAAUCUUGCUAUGCUUGCUAAGCAAAGUUGGCGGCUAGUAACGCACCCUGAUACUUUGUGUGCACAUGUUCUUAGAGCAAAGUAUUAUCCAGGUGGAAAUUUGCUUAUGGCAGGCCCAAAGAAGGGCUCAUCUUUUACAUGGCAGAGCAUUGUGGCGGGUCUUCAAACCUUCAAGAGAGGGCAUAUCUGGCGAGUGGGGACGGGUGCCAAAAUAAAUAUUUGGACGGAUCACUGGAUCCCACAAAGUCCUACAAGGAAGGUUAUCACGCCAAGGGGUAAUAUCUUGUUGACCACUGUUGAUGAACUUAUUAAUCCAGGAACAGGAUGGAGGGAUGAAACCUUGGUUCGGUCUAUAUUCUUUGGUGUUGAUGUUCAACGGAUUUUGAAGAUUCCAUUAUCUACCCAUUUACUGGAUGAUUUUGUGGCAUGGAAUGUCACAAAAAAAAUUGUUUCUCGGUUCGGUCAGCAUACUAUGUCGAGUGGGAGCACCAAUUCGGCCCAAGAAUGA
rnacentral:rRNA from 1 species